rnacentral:lncRNA from 1 species
GGGGAAAACUUAUUAUUAGAGUGAUUUUUCUAAGUCCAAGGUCCAUAACUCUACACAAAAUCAACAGACCAGUACAAAAUUUUAACUUGAUUUAUAACUUGUAACGAUAAAACUUUAUACCAAUUAUCAAAUCAAUAAAUCUUCCAGCAUGAAAAAAAGUUUGGAAAACUGAUUUGCCGGACUGACAGAUGGAGUCUACUUUGACUUCAU